rnacentral:rRNA from 1 species
CCUACGGGAGGCUGCAGUGAGGAAUAUUGGUCAAUGGCCGGGAGUCUGAACCAGCCAAGUCGCGUGAGGGAAGACGGCCCUACGGGUUGUCAACCUCUUUUAUCAGGGAGCAAGGUGCAGCACGGGACCUGCUGUGCGAGUACCUGAAGAAAAAGCAUCGGCUAACUCCGUGCCAGCAGCCGCGGUAAUACGGAGGAUGCGAGCGUUAUCCGGAUUUAUUGGGUUUAAAGGGGGCGCAGGCGGAGGCACAAGUCAGCGGUAAAAUCGCGGGGCGCAACCCCGCACCGCCGUUUAAACUGUGUGCCUUGAGUGCGCGAAGGGUAGGCGGAAUGCGUGGUGUAGCGGUGAAAUGCAUAGAGAUCACGCAGAACUCCGAUCGCGAAGGCAGCCUACCGGCGCGCAACUGACGCUGAUGCACGAAAGCGUGGGUAUCGAACAGGAUUAGAUACCCCUGUAGUC